CUUAUCAAGAGUGGUGGAGGGAAUGGCCCAGUGAAGCCCGGCAACCGAUAUAUAAUCUCAUUUAUUAUAUAUAUAUAUACGGUGCUAAUUCCUACAGUUAUUUUGUGAUAGCUGAAAGAUGAGA
rnacentral:ncRNA from 1 species